CACUAAGCGGAGGAAAAGAAACUAACCAGGAUUCCCCUAGUAACGGCGAGUGAAGAGGGAAUAGCCCAGCACCGAAGCCUGCGGUAGGUUUACUGCUAGGCAAUGUGGUGUUUGGGUCGACUCGCGGGACUGCCACUCCACUCGAAGUCCAACACUGAGUAUGGUUCCCUGGAUUUGGCCCAAAGAGGGUGAAAGGCCCGUGCGAGUGGAGGUUCAGACAUGUGAGGCAGUUCACCAGGUCGACCUUCGAGUCGGGUUGUUUGGGAAUGCAGCCCAAAGUGGGUGGUAAACUCCAUCCAAGGCUAAAUACUAGCACGAGUCCGAUAGCGAACAAGUACCGUGAGGGAAAGUUGAAAAGUACUUUGAAGAGAGAGUAAACAGUACGUGAAACCGCAUAGAGGUAAACGGGUGGCGUCAAGCUGCAAGCCUAGAGGAUUCAGUUGGUCGGUGUGUAUGCGCGCCUGGCGUGUCUGUCGGACGGACAGUCUACUGCGAAAUGGUGGGCCUACUCUUCUUCUCGGGGGAGUAGGAUCGGCGUUCCGGGUGGUUGCCGGAGCCGGCUGUCUUGUCUGUCUGCGCAGUGUGGAUGGACCGGCCAAUGCACUUCCUCUAUUUGGUGAGCACCACGACUGGUGGAACUGCCAGUCUGCCGUAGUCAAGUCGGGUUUGGUCGAUGGCUCCUCGUGGGUUGUUGGCUGGAUUCCGAUCACAGGCAAACUCAGUGAGCGGCGCGUGUGGGCAUUCGUCUGCACUCGUGUUAUCGAGCACUGGUUGUCAACGGGUCUGUCUGUCGGUAUUAGUCGAUGCAGUGGCCGGCAGAUGUCCUGGUGGACUACGGUGGUAUGAAUAACUGUGCAGGGCACCAGGGUUGUCGGUCUCUAGUUUCCGUCUCGUGCGCACACACUGCAUGUGGGCGUGGGGUGUUGGUGCUGGCUGCCAAUUACUGGGCCUGAUUGUCGUGUUGCCUGCGCAAAGUGGGUCCGGCGAUGGUCUGGUGUUGGAUGGUCAUGCAUUUACGCAAUGCCUCCUGUACGAGUCGGCGAGGACCAUACAGUCUGUGGUGUUGUGGUAGACGAGCUACCCGACCCGUCUUGAAACACGGACCAAGGAGUUUAUCAUGCACGCGAGUCAAUGGGUCCAUCGAAACCCAAAGGCGCAGUGAAAGUGAAGUCUCGACUUGUUCUCGGGAUGUGGUGAGAUGCCAUUGUUUCUCGCACCUGCUUCUCUGUGUCUUUCUCUUUUGGGGGGGGCAUGGAGAAGUUUAACAGUACCAGGCACAAGAGCAGUGGCCGCAUCACCGGCCCGUCCCAUGAUGUGGUCGUUGGAAAGGCAUUGAUCGUCGUUUCGGCGGUCAGCGUUGGAACCGGCGCGUCAUCGGGGCGGAGCAGGAGCGUGCACGAUAAGACCCGAAAGAUGGUGAACUAUGCUUGCGUAGGUUGAAGCCAGAGGAAACUCUGGUGGAGGACCGCAGCGAUUCUGACGUGCAAAUCGAUCGUCAAACGUGAGUAUAGGGGCGAAAGACUAAUCGAACCAUCUAGUAGCUGGUUCCCUC
rnacentral:rRNA from 1 species